rnacentral:rRNA from 1 species
AUUGAACGCUGGCGGAAUGCUUUACACAUGCAAGUCGAACGGUAGAGGGGGCAACCCCUCGAGAGUGGCGAACGGGUGAGUAAUAUAUCGGAACGUGCCCAGUCGGGGGGGAUAACGUAGCGAAAGUUACGCUAAUACCGCAUACGAUCUAAGGAUGAAAGCGGGGGAUCGCAAGACCUCGCGCGAUUGGAGCGGCCGAUAUCAGAUUAGGUCGUUGGUGGGGUAAAGGCUCACCAAGCCAACGAUCUGUAGCUGGUCUGAGAGGACGACCAGCCACACUGGAGCUGAGACACGGUCCAGACUCCUACGGGAGGCAGCAGUCGGGAAUUUUGGACAAAGGACGCAAGUCUGAUCCAGCCAUUCCGCGUGCAGGAUGGAGGCCCUCGGGUUGUAAACUGCUUUUGUACGGAACGAAAAGGUCUCUCUUAAUACGGGGGGCUCAUGACGGUACCGUAAGAAUAAGCACCGGCUAACUACGUGCCAGCCGCCGCUGUAA